UCCUUGGUGGCUCAGAGGGUAAAGCAUCUGCCUGCAAUGCAGGACACCUAGGUUCAAUCCCUGAGUCAGGAA
rnacentral:tRNA from 1 species